UGGGGGAUAUUGCACAAUGGGGCGCAAGCCUGAUGCAGCGACGCCGCGUGUGGGAAGACGGUCUUCGGAUUGUAAACCACUGGCUUUGGGGACGAUAAUGACGGUACCCAAGAGGAAGCUCCGGCUAACUACGUGCCAGCAGCCGCGGUAAUACGUAGGGAGCGAGCGUUGUCCGGAAUUACUGGGUGUAAAGGGAGCGUAGGCGGGAAUGCAAGUUGAAUGUGAAAUCUAUCGGCUCAACUGAUAGCUGCGCUCAAAACUGCAUUUCUUGAGUGAAGUAGAGGUUGGCGGAAUUCCCAGUGUAGCGGUGAAAUGCGUAGAUAUUAGGAGGAACACCAGUGGCGAAGGCGGCCAACUGGGCUUUUACUGACGCUGAGGCUCGAAAGCGUGGGGAGCAAACAGGAUUAGAUACCCUGGUAGU
rnacentral:rRNA from 1 species